UCGGGAAUAUUGCGCAAUGGAGGAAACUCUGACGCAGUGACGCCGCGUGCAGGAAGAAGGUUUUCGGAUUGUAAACUGCUUUAGACAGGGAAGAAAAAAGACAGUACCUGUAGAAUAAGCUCCGGCUAACUACGUGCCAGCAGCCGCGGUAAUACGUAGGGAGCAAGCGUUAUCCGGAUUUAUUGGGUGUAAAGGGUGCGUAGACGGGGAAUCAAGUUAGUUGUGAAAUCCCUCGGCUUAACUGAGGAACUGCAACUAAAACUAAUUUUCUUGAGUGCUGGAGAGGAAAGUGGAAUUCCUAGUGUAGCGGUGAAAUGCGUAGAUAUUAGGAGGAACACCAGUGGCGAAGGCGACUUUCUGGACAGUAACUGACGUUGAGGCACGAAAGUGUGGGGAGCAAACA
rnacentral:rRNA from 1 species